ACGAACGCUGGCGGCAUGCCUAACACAUGCAAGUCGAACGAGACCUUCGGGUCUAGUGGCGCACGGGUGCGUAACGCGUGGGAAUCUGCCCUUGGGUUCGGAAUAACAGUUGGAAACGACUGCUAAUACCGGAUGAUGACGUAAGUCCAAAGAUUUAUCGCCCAAGGAUGAGCCCGCGUAGGAUUAGCUAGUUGGUGAGGUAAAGGCUCACCAAGGCGACGAUCCUUAGCUGGUCUGAGAGGAUGAUCAGCCACACUGGGACUGAGACACGGCCCAGACUCCUACGGGAGGCAGCAGUGGGGAAUAUUGGACAAUGGGCGAAAGCCUGAUCCAGCAGUGCCGCGUGAGUGAUGAAGGCCUUAGGGUUGUAAAGCUCUUUUACCCGGGGUGAUAAUGACAGUACCGGGAGAAUAAGCUCCGGCUAACUCCGUG
rnacentral:rRNA from 1 species